AGAGUUUGAUCCUGGCUCAGAUUGAACGCUGGCGGCAGGCUUAACACAUGCAAGUCGAGCGGGGAGAUGUAGCUUGCUACAUUUCCUAGCGGCGGACGGGUGAGUAAUGCUUAGGAAUCUGCCUAUUAGUGGGGGACAACAUUCCGAAAGGAAUGCUAAUACCGCAUACGCCCUACGGGGGAAAGCAGGGGAUCUUCGGACCUUGCGCUAAUAGAUGAGCCUAAGUCAGAUUAGCUAGUUGGUGGGGUAAAGGCCUACCAAGGCGACGAUCUGUAGCGGGUCUGAGAGGAUGAUCCGCCACACUGGGACUGAGACACGGCCCAGACUCCUACGGGAGGCAGCAGUGGGGAAUAUUGGACAAUGGGCGAAAGCCUGAUCCAGCCAUGCCGCGUGUGUGAAGAAGGCCUUUUGGUUGUAAAGCACUUUAAGCGAGGAGGAGGCUACUUAGAUUAAUACUCUAGGAUAGUGGACGUUACUCGCAGAAUAAGCACCGGCUAACUCUGUGCCAGCAGCCGCGGUAAUACAGAGGGUGCGAGCGUUAAUCGGAUUUACUGGGCGUAAAGCGUGCGUAGGCGGCUUUUUAAGUCGGAUGUGAAAUCCCUGAGCUUAACUUAGGAAUUGCAUUCGAUACUGGGAAGCUAGAGUAUGGGAGAGGAUGGUAGAAUUCCAGGUGUAGCGGUGAAAUGCGUAGA
rnacentral:rRNA from 1 species